AGUGAGAUAACUGGGUCAAAUGGUGGUUCCAUUCCUAGUCUCUGAGGAAUCUCCACACUGCUUUCCAGAAUGGUUGCACCAAUUUUCAGUCCCACCAGCAAU
rnacentral:pre_miRNA from 1 species